rnacentral:rRNA from 1 species
UGGCGAACGGGUGAGUAAUAUAUCGGAACGUACCCUAGGGUGGGGGAUAACUACGCGAAAGCGUAGCUAAUACCGCAUACGCACUAAGGUGGAAAGCGGGGGAUCGCAAGACCUCGCGCUCAUGGAGCGGCCGAUAUCUGAUUAGGUAGUUGGUAGGGUAAAGGCCUACCAAGCCGACGAUCAGUAGCUGGUCUGAGAGGACGAUGAGCCACACUGGAACUGAGACACGGUCCAGACUCC